rnacentral:lncRNA from 1 species
CAUUGGUUUAAGACACUGUUGUCUCCUGGCCUCUUGUUCCUGCUGCUCUGCUGGCACAGCCACUCCUGUGGUUGGGAACCAGGUGGGAGGAGCCAUCCGGCUUGGGAAGGGGAAAAAAAGGUUUCAUGUGUUUGGUUUUUUUGUUUGUUUGUUUGUUUAAAGCAGGAAAGUUCCUCUGUCUGGUUCAGUGCCUGGUCACAGCGAGUUUUCCUGGCACAAGUGAGUGGAAAGAGCACUUUGGCAUGGAGAGGAAAUGAGCAGUGGAGGGUGAAAGGUGUCCUGGCAGGCACUUCCCAUCUGUGUCCUUAUCUCCCAGGCUCUUCAAAGGCUCCCCAGAUACCGUGUCCUGCAAGUUCAAAACCCUGCAGCCCACUGGGACUGGAAAUGUGUGAAGGAGCACAAGAAUUGGAGUUGAAUGACAGUGUGGCUGCCUGGCUGUUACAAUUUAUCAUGAACGCAUCUCACUUCACUUCUGGCUCCUCUGACGGAAGGAACAGCCGGUCUCCAGGAGGUCAAAGACAUUAUUUUCCCCUAGUCUUUCUCAGUUUCCAGCGCAUAUUUGUCACUUUGAAAAAGCAUGAAUUCUGGAUUUGA